rnacentral:sRNA from 1 species
GCCAGGCUUGGUGGUGCAUGCCUGUAAUCCCAGUGGCUCGGGAGACUGAGGCAGGAGGAUCACAAGUUCAAAGCCAGCCUCAGCAACUUAUCGAGGUUCUAAGCAACUGAGACCCUGUCUCUA